AGCAGCCGCGGUAAUUCCAGCUCCAAUAGCGUAUAUUAAAGUUGUUGCAGUUAAAAAGCUCGUAGUUGAAUUUCGGGGUCAGUAGGUUGGUCGUGCCACGGGUAUGUACUGGUCUCACUGAUUCCUCCUUCCUGAUGAACCGUAAUGCCAUUAAUUUGGUGUUGCGGGGAAACUGGACUGUUACUUUGAAAAAAUUAGAGUGUUUAAAGCAGGCUAACGCUUGAAUACAUUAGCAUGGAAUAAUGAAAUAGGACGUUGAUCUUAUUUUGUUGGUUUCUAGGAUUGACGUAAUGAUUAAUAGGGAUAGUUGGGGGCAUUAGUAUUCAAUUGUCAGAGGUGAAAUUCUUGGAUUUAUUGAAGACUAACUACUGCGAAAGCAUUUGCCAAGGAUGUUUUCAUUAAUCAAGAACGAAAGUUAGGGGAUCGAAGACGAUCAGAUACCGUCGUAGUCUUAACCAUAAACUAUGCCGACUAGGGAUCGGAUGAUGUUAAUUUUUUAAUGUACUCAUUCGGCGCCUUA
rnacentral:rRNA from 1 species